AAGUCCUGCGUGAGCACAAAGGGGACCCGCUCCCGCUUGUAACCGAACUUCUUUUUCUUGUGGUCCAGGAAGUGACCGAAGUCGAUGUGGAAGAGCUGCAGGACAGUUGUAGAAUGAACGUGGCCACACAGUAGCCGGCGCACGACCUGGUAAACAAGUCGAUGGCACGGUCAUACCUGAAAGGUGAUGUAAAGUGUUGGAGUUAAACUGCAGCGCCCCCUUCAGGCCUCCUUUGCACUGAAUCUGCAUGAUGGUGAAACUGCUCUUGACCACCUCGAUGAGACCAACACAGUCGCCGAUGGACAGGCAUCCAUAGGGAAGCAUGCUGAGACCAACAGACACAAAAUCUGGAAAACACUCAAACACGAGUUGGUUACAAGGGAGCCACAUGACCCGCCAUCCCGUGCAACACUUUCUACCAUCGCCGUUCUUGAAGAUGAUCUCGUUGUUGGUGAAAAGCAGCUCCGACAUGAUGUCGGGGUUCUCCCAGUUCAGCCACAGCGGACGCUUUGCCGACGACAUUAUCCUGCACUCCUCCAGCCUGGCCACACAGAUCGAGUUUCACAGACUCACAACAGCAGCAUUGGUGGAGGGAGUAUCACCUGAGGUGUCCCAGCUGGUGCACGGGGUUCAAAGGAGAGACAAAUCCCUGCAGAGCUUCCAUGUAAUCUGGACGGGACAUGUGCUCCACCAGGAACUUCAUCUGAGUCUAAAGAAGCAAUCGCCGCAUGGGAUUAUGGAACAAGUCAGACUCGGGUGUGUGGCUCCACGCUUCCGUUCCUUACUUUCUGCGUUUCGUCUUUCUUUUCCUGUUUCAGCGUAUCCGUGAGGUUCACCAGUUUAUCCAUGGCCUCCACCUGCAUGCACGCAUGCAUAGAUCCCAUGGUUCAACCAAUCAAGGACCGAAUAACGGACAGAAGGGGCCUCCCCUCACCUGUCGGUUCAAGUGUUUGAGGUACAUGCCACAUGCUCUGCAGAAGGCUUCCAGCAGCAAGCCAAAGCGACGCGACACCGUCUUAUUGUGCAUCUCUGACCUGAUGACGGCAACACGCCAAUGUCAAUUCCGCCCGUCGGCCUCUCAAAUCAUCAACCUCUGACCGUCUUGCUCACUUGAGAUGCCAGAAGAAGAAGUGUCCAAUCCUCUGAUUAGUCAAGGCUUUCUUGAUCAGGAAACGGGCCAGCGGGUUGUCCAGGGUGGCGUAUCUUUCCCUGAGGACAGAGAUGGCAAGUCCAAGUCCAGAUAGUAAAAACUCCGCCACAGUUUACGUUUCGCCACAGGUGCUUCAACUCAAACGGCAGGUAAACAAGCUCUUGAGACGAAGCGCGUGUGACGAAAGCCAAACUGUGGCAGGGUUUUUACUCUCCGGACCUGGAUUUGCACACCUCUGCCUCUAGGUGAGUAGCGAACCUGUACGAGCUGCAGUAGGUACUGGGAAAGCUUGUCGUCCGUCAGACUCUGGACCAGGCAGCGCAGCGCAAACUCUCUCACCAUCGGGUCAGGAAAGUUGCAGUCCAGUAACUCCAGAGCUGACUCGGACUCCAUCAGAGGCCACUCCUUCAAAAGGCAGUACAUCUGGCAAGAGGAGUUGGGCAGAUAAGUAAGCAAUGAGUUCA